rnacentral:rRNA from 1 species
UGCAGCGGCACCACAUGGUGACAGUUGUUAAAGCGGGGGAACAGCAAUGUCCUCGCGCCUGAAGAGGAGCCUGCGGCGGAUUAGCUAGUUGGCGGGGUAACGGCCCACCAAGGCAACGAUCCGUAGCCGGCCUGAGAGGGCGGUCGGCCACACUGGCACUGACACACGGGCCAGACUCCUACGGGAGGCAGCAGUCGGGAAUUUUGGGCAAUGGGCGAAAGCCUGACCCAGCAACGCCGCGUGAAGGAUGAAGCUUCUCGGAGUGUAAACUUCAUAAGAAUGGGACGAAUAAAGAGGGGUUAAUACCCCCUCCUAUGACGGUACCAUUUGUAAGCUCCGGCUAACUCCGUGCCAGCAGCCGCGGUAAUACGGGGGGAGCAAGCGUUGUUCGGAUUUACUGGGCGUAAAGGGCGCGUAGGCGGCGCAACAAGUCAGCUGUGAAAUCUCCGGGCUUAACCCGGAGCGGCCAGCUGAUACUGACGUGCUAGAGUGCGGAAGGGGCUACUGGAAUUCUCGGUGUAGCGGUGAAAUGCGUAGAUAUCGAGAGGAACACCUGUGGCGAAGGCGGGUAGCUGGGCCGACACUGACGCUGAGGCGCG